rnacentral:rRNA from 1 species
GCGUGGAGGACGAAGGUUUUCGGAUCGUAAACUCCUGUCCGGAGGGAAGAAGGCAGUGACGGUACCUCCGGAGGAAGCCCCGGCUAACUCCGUGCCAGCAGCCGCGGUAAUACGGGGGGGGCAAGCGUUGUUCGGAAUUACUGGGCGUAAAGGGCGCGUAGGCGGCCUCGGAAGUCAUGGGUGAAAGCUCCCGGCUCAACCGGGAAAGGGCCUGUGAAACCACGGGGCUGGAGUGCUGGAGAGGAAAGCGGAAUUCCCAGUGUAGCGGUGAAAUGCGU